ACUCAUCGACUGCACGAACAUCAUGAUGAAGAUCAAAACUGAACCGACAGAAAUAAAAACUGAACCGACAGAAAUAAAAACUGAACCAACAGAAGAUGAAUAUGAAGACAAUGAUGAUGGUCAUAAUUUUAUUCUGUCAGGCUAGAGGUGGUUUGAAAUCCUUUUCAAAUUUGGAACAGUCCACUUAUGAGAGGUGUGUUUGGGAAAGUCCAUGUUUGGGGAAUAUAGUUUCUACCACGUCUGACGUCGAGGCCGAUUGUUGUGCCAGCAUGACGUCAUUGCCAUAGAAACAGUGCAGAUGAUCCGGAACACGGCACAACGCUACAGGACGCACAGAUCGGAUCUGAACAGUUGUGAUACACAAUAUGGACAAUCAGUCUGUCAAAUCGGAUAUGCACCUAAAUCGGAUAUGGACUGACAGUGUGAACAAGAUGUGAAGAGUGAAUUAUGUUUGGAUGAAGAAAUAACGUCCUCGACUCUUUCCUGCAUCACCGGUGGAGAGACAUUGAGCUCACAGAGACAUUUAGAGAGAAAACACACAGACCAUGAACACCAUCUGAAGAAACA